rnacentral:tRNA from 1 species
AGCAGCGUGGCUCAGUGGAAAGAGCACGGCUGGGGAGUCAGAGGUCAUGGGUUCAAAUCCCAGCUCUGCCG